AUAAAUCAGAAAAAAGGCGAAAAUUUUUAAAAUAAAUGCUAUAGAAAUACAAAUUGAAUUUAAAAUAAAACAAAGUGCAACGUGCAAUGAAAUUCAUUGACCCCACGAGUGAAAAUAGUGAAAAGAGCAGAAAGCAGCACUUUCAAAUUAAAUAUGCAAAUUUGCGCGUAUCACAAUGUACGGCGAGUACAUACUAACUAAGUUAAAUGUAUAAAUAUUUAAGUAUAUACAUAUAUUAUUCAGAUGCACGGACUGAAAGCUAUUUAUAUGCCUAUACAAAAUGUAUAUAAGUAUCACUGUACAUAGCUCUCCUAUGGCGGCGUAUGGGGGUAUUGAAAAUAUUCUGGAAGAAAUGCAACCGGCAGGCAGCGUACGUUUCACAGUCGACUUGAAUGUAAACAUGAAAAGUCGGAAAAACGAAAAAUCAUAUUCUAAAUAUACACAACGAUGCUCACAAGAGAGAGAGAGAGAGAAUGAGGCGAACCAGAGCAAGAAAUUCGGUAGAAAAUAAUGAACAGAGAGGGAAAGCCAUGCAUUUGGUUAGACUUGGUGUGAUUUUUAAAUGCUUUUUAAAUUCUAUAGGUAAAAGAAUAUGUGGAAAAUUUUGUUGAUGAACAAAAAAAUACACUUUUGGGAU
rnacentral:lncRNA from 1 species